CUCCUGAGAUCAAGUCAGAGCAUCCCAAGAGUGCUCUAGACUAUACUCUUGGCUUUUACCAUAAGAAACUUUGCAGGGAGAAUGCUUCUGCCUUUGCAUAUGGAGGGAGCUUCACUACUGUGAGAAUCAUCUCUCCAGGGAAGGAGGAGGAGCUUCUUUUAUUGCUGAGUUUGAGACAGUGAAUUGGGAAGUGUUGGGCUUCUGCAUUAGAUUCUACUCACAAUCCAUAAAAUCAUUUAGAAAGCUAUUAUUUGCCACACAACGACAAGAAGUUGAGAGUCCCUCCUCCCCCUCAAAAUGUGUCACUGGUCUGAGAACAUGAUUCGAGACCUGCAAUAGUACCACACAGAGGCAUAGUUAAAUCCCUUUGGGAAGAAUGUAGGGAAGCCUACAGGCUGGGGUAGGUACAGACCCUGAGCACUUUCUGGGUUCCAGAUGAAGAAGCUUAUAGACAAGGCUCUGGCUUCUCCCCGCACUGGCUCCAGGUCCUCCCUGCAUUUCUGCCUCCAGAAGGCCCUGCAGAAGUCUGAGCUCCCUGAGCUGCCACCUGGUCCCAAGGCUGAAAGGAGAAGGCCGAAAAGAUGAUCCUUUGAAAUAAAAGAGAGUGGGAAAGACAAAAUUGGCCUCUCCAGAUCACUAAUUCAUGUCUCUCUUAAAAUGUUCUUUAAUCUUCAGCUUCAUUUAUUCCAUCCUGGCCCAGGGGUUUGUUUCCAUAAUUUGGGAGA